rnacentral:rRNA from 1 species
CUCGGCAACGGAUAUCUCGGCUCUCGCAUCGAUGAAGAACGUAGCGAAAUGCGAUACUUGGUGUGAAUUGCAGAAUCCCGUGAACCAUCGAGUCUUUGAACGCAAGUUGCGCCCGAAGCCAUUAGGCUGAGGGCACGCCUGCCUGGGCGUCACGC